rnacentral:rRNA from 1 species
CCUACGGGAGGCUGCAGUGGGGAAUAUUGGGCAAUGGGCGCAAGCCUGACCCAGCAACGCCGCGUGAAGGAAGAAGGCUUUCGGGUUGUAAACUUCUUUUCUCAGGGACGAAGAAAGUGACGGUACCUGAGGAAUAAGCCACGGCUACCUACGUGCCAGCAGCCGCGGUAAUACGUAGGUGGCAAGCGUUAUCCGGAAUGAUUGGGUGUAAAGGGUGCGUAGACGGAAGAACAAGUUGGUUGUGAAAUCCCUCGGCUCAACUGAGGAACUGCAACCAAAACUAUUCUCCUUGAGUGUCGGAGAGGAAAGUGGAAUUCCUAGUGUAGCGGUGAAAUGCGUAGAUAUUAGGAGGAACACCAGUGGCGAAGGCGACUUUCUGGACGAUAACUGACGUUGAGGCACGAAAGUGUGGGGAGCAAACAGGAUUAGAUACCCGAGUAGUC